CCCUGGUAGUCCACGCAGUAAACGAUGAAUGCUAGUUGUCCGGGGCGAUUGAGUUCUGGGUGACACAGCGAAAGCGUUAAGCAUUCCACCUGGGGAGUACGCCGGCAACGGUGAAACUCAAAGGAAUUGACGGGGGCCCGCACAAGCGGAGGAACAUGUGGUUUAAUUCGAUGAUACGCGAGGAACCUUACCCGGGCUCAAACGCAGGAGGGAUGUUUUUGAAAGGAGGC
rnacentral:rRNA from 1 species